ensembl:snRNA U2 U2 spliceosomal RNA
AUCACUUCUCAGCCUUUUGGCUAAUAUCAAAUAUAGUAUCUGUUCUUAUCAGUUUCAUAUCUGAUACGUCCUCUAUCUGAGGACAAUACAUCAAAUGGAUUUUUGGAGCAAGGAGAUGGAAUAGGAGCUUGGUCUGUCCAUUCCAUGCAUAGUAUUACAGUACCAGGAAUGGAGCACCUUCU